AGCACUGCUUACAAGCCAGGAAUUAGCCCAGAAUUAUACAGAACAGCUGCCUUUCCUGUUCUCUCUGUCUCUCUCUCUCCUGGUUUUCUACUUCCCCUUUGCUUGCUGAUAUUAUUUGUUUUGUUUUCUUGGAAACUAGGUCUGUACCAGUUAGAUUCCCCUAUUUUCUUUGUUUAUUAAGAUGCAAAAUCUGAUUGUUGAAUGCACAAGUGGGUACUGAAGGCUGUGUGAACAUGGAACCAUGUCAGACCUAUACCUGUAGCAGACUGUAUUGUCCUUUUUUUUUAUGGUAAAUUUAUAUGUGGAAAAGAGGAUGUAAAAAUGGAUUCUUGACAGUAUGCUGGGCCAGAUUCUCUGGUAGCUGCACAAAAGCUUCACUCCAGGUUAAACCACAAAAAUGGUGCAUGAUUCAAAAUAUUAGUCUAUGGGGUUUUGGAAAGAAGCAUACUUUGGAGAUUUAGCUGAUCCAGCUCAGACAGAAACAGACUAAUCAUCUCUGGACAAGACGGAAUGAUGAAAGAGAGCAGUCUCAUUCCUUUACAGUGUGCCAAGUCUUGUCUGAGAGAAGACAGCUAGGGAUAUAACAAGGAGACACCAAUAUGUUCCAGGUAAAAUAUACAUCAAGAGUAAUAUAAAAGCAAGGACAAGUGUUGGGGCACACUGAGCACCACAAACUAGGGGCAGCCAGAAGCAAUAAUUGUAAGAAUCUUAUGUCCAUUUGAGAUAGCGAGUUUUGGAAUUCUGUGCUGUGUCAGAAGUCCACAGACCCUGUUCUGUAUUUCAG
rnacentral:lncRNA from 1 species